rnacentral:rRNA from 1 species
GGCAGCAGUGGGGAAUCUUCGGCAAUGGGCGAAAGCCUGACCGAGCAACGCCGCGUGAAUGAUGAAGGCCUUCGGGUUGUAAAAUUCUGUUAUAAGGGAAGAACGACUUUAGUAGGAAAUGGCUAGAGUGUGACGGUACCUUAUGAGAAAGCCACGGCUAACUACGUGCCAGCAGCCGCGGUAAUACGUAGGUGGCGAGCGUUAUCCGGAAUUAUUGGGCGUAAAGAGCGCGCAGGUGGUUGAUUAAGUCUGAUGUGAAAGCCCACGGCUUAACCGUGGAGGGUCAUUGGAAACUGGUCGACUUGAGUGCAGAAGAGGGAAGUGGAAUUCCAUGUGUAGCGGUGAAAUGCGUAGAGAUAUGGAGGAACACCAGUGGCGAAGGCGGCUUCCUGGUCUGUAACUGACACUGAGGCGCGAAAGCGUGGGGAGCAAACAGGAUUAGAUACCCUGGUAGUCCACGCCGUAAACGAUGAGUGCUAGGUGU